rnacentral:rRNA from 1 species
UACGUAGGGGGCAAGCGUUGUCCGGAAUCAUUGGGCGUAAAGCGCGUGUAGGCGGUUCGGUAAGUCGGCUGUGAAAGUCCAGGGCUCAACCCUGGGAUGCCGGUCGAUACUGCCGGACUAGAGUUCGGAAGAGGCGAGUGGAAUUCCCGGUGUAGCGGUGAAAUGCGCAGGUAUCGGGAGGAACACCAAUGGCGAAGGCAGCUCGCUGGGACGUUACUGACGCUGAGACGCGAAAGCGUGGGGAGCAAACAGG